rnacentral:rRNA from 1 species
AGAGUUUGAUCCUGGCUCAGGAUGAACGCUGGCGGCGUGCUUAACACAUGCAAGUCGAACGAGGUCCAUGGAGCUUGCUCCGGAAGACCUAGUGGCGAACGGGUGCGUAACACGUGAGAAACCUGCCCCGAUCUCUGGGAUAACAGUUGGAAACGACUGCUAAUACCGGAUGCCGUCACACCGCUUCAUGGCGGAGUGCCGAAAGAUUUAUCGGAUCGGGAGGGUCUCGCGGCCUAUCAGCUAGUUGGAGAGGUAACGGCUCACCAAGGCAUCGACGGGUAGCUGGUCUGAGAGGAUGAUCAGCCACACUGGGACUGGGACACGGCCCAGACUCCUACGGGAGGCAGCAGUGGGGAAUCUUGCACAAUGGGCGAAAGCCUGAUGCAGCAACGCCGCGUGCGGGAUGAAGGCCCUAGGGUUGUAAACCGCUUUCAGUAGGGAAGAAAAUGACGGUACCUACAGAAGAAGGUGCGGCCAACUACGUGCCAGCAGCCGCGGUGACACGUAGGCACCAAGCGUUAUCCGGAUUUAUUGGGCGUAAAGAGCUCGUAGGCGGUUCGGUAAGUCGGGUGUGAAAACUCUGGGCUCAACCCAGAGACGCCACCCGAUACUGCUGUGACUAGAGUGCGGUAGGGGAGCGGGGAAUUCAUGGUGUAGCGGUGAAAUGCGCAGAUAUCAUGAGGAACACCAGCGGCGAAGGCGCCGCUCUGGGCCGUAACUGACGCUGAGGAGCGAAAGCAUGGGUAGCAAACAGGAUUAGAUACCCUGGUAGUCCAUGCCGUAAACGUUGGGCACUAGGUGUGGGUCUCAACCAACGAGAUCCGCGCCGUCGCUAACGCAUUAAGUGCCCCGCCUGGGGAGUACGGUCGCAAGACUAAAACUUAAAGGAAUUGACGG